UCGCCUUAGAGUCUGACUGGAUCAGGAUGAACGCUAGCGGCGCGCUUAAUGCAUGCAAGUCGAGCGAUGAGGCCCUCUUCGGGGGGUACAUCAGCGGCAGACGGGUGAGUAACACGUAGGUGAUCUAGCCCAGAGACGGGGAUAACGGGUGGAAACAUCCGCUAAUACCGGAUAGGCUUGUUCGGUCAAUGGGACAAUGUGAAAAGCUCCGGCGCUCUGGGAGGAGCCUGCGGGCCAUCAGCUAGUUGGCGGGGUAACGGCCCACCAAUGUAAAGACGGGUAGGGGGUGUUGAGAGCAUGGGCCCCCACAAUGCGACUGGAACACGGGCCAUACUCCUACUGGAGGCAGCAUCUGGGAAUAUUGCUCAAUGGACUGGAAGUCUGAUGCAGCGACGCCGCGUGGAUGAAGAAGGCCCUCGGGUUGUAGAAUCCUUUACAGGGGGAAGAGGAAGGACGGUACCCCUGGAACAAGUGUCGGCUAACUACGUGCCAGCAGGCGCGGUAAGACGUAGGACACAAGCGUUAUCCGGAUUAACUGGGCGUAAAGCGUCUGCAUGCGGACAGGUAAGUUGGGCGUGAAAGCCCCGGGCCCAACCCGGAGAGGUCGUUCAAUACUGCGUGUCUAGAGGGUGUCAGAGGGGAGUGCAAUUUCCCGGAGUAGCGGUCCAAUGCGCAGAGAUCGGAAAGGAACACCAAAUGGCGAAUGCAGUUCCCUGGGGCAAGCCUGACGCUAAGAGACGAACGCUAGGGGAGCGAAC
rnacentral:rRNA from 1 species